rnacentral:lncRNA from 1 species
GUAGUUCACUUCACAUGAAUAGAGCUUGAAGGACUGGAAGCUACUCUGGAUGGAGUCUAGCUCUAUUGCCCAAGCUGGAGUACAAUGGCACGAUCUUGGCUCAUUGCAACCUCCGCCUCCUGGGUUCAAGCAAUUCUCCUGCUGCAGCCUCCAGAGUAGCUGGGACUAUAGGCACGCACCACCAUGCCCGGCGAAUUUUUGUAUUUUUAGUAGAGACGGGGUUUCAUUAUGUUGGCCAGGCUAGUCUCAAACUCCUGACCUCAGGUGAUCCACUAACCUCGGCCUCCCAAAGGGCUGGGAUUACUGGCAUGAACCACCGUGCCUGGGCUGUGCUAUACUUUUAUAUGACCGGCAGCACGAUUUGUUUACACCAGCAUCACCACAAACAUGUGAGUAAUGCGCUGCACUAUGACUUUAUUCUGGCCACAGCAUCACCAGGCAAUAGGAAUUUUCCAGCUCCACUAGAAUCUCAUGUCAUGGUACCACCAUUGUCUAUGUGGUCUUCUGUUAAACAUUGUUACGAGGUGCUUGGCGGGGUGUGUGUGUGUGUGUGUAUGUGUGCACAUAUAUGUGUGUGUGGAUGUGUGUGUGUGCGCCAGGGUGUGGGUGUGUGUGUGUGUAUAUAUGUGCGUGUGUUCUGUCUCUGGAGAACUAUCCCUAAU